rnacentral:rRNA from 1 species
UACGUAGGGGGCAAGCGUUGUCCGGAUUUAUUGGGCGUAAAGAGCGUGUAGGCGGCCAGGUAGGUCUGCUGUGAAAACUCGAGGCUCAACCUCGAGACGUCGGCGGAAACCAUCUGGCUAGAGUCCGGAAGAGGAGAGUGGAAUUCCUGGUGUAGCGGUGAAAUGCGCAGAUAUCAGGAAGAACACCCGUGGCGAAGGCGGCUCUCUGGGACGGUACUGACGCUGAGGCGCGAAAGCUAGGGGAGCGAACAGG